rfam:Myotis lucifugus cont2.38760, whole genome shotgun sequence.
AGAGCCAGAGAGAGAGGCAGGGUCUGAUCCACAGCCUCAGUGGCAGUUGUUGAUCAGUACCUGCCUCUCUCUUUCUCUCCC